GGCUGCAGUAACGAAUAUUGCGCAAUGGGCGAAAGCCUGACGCAGCGACGCCGCGUGUAGGAUGAAGUCCCUCGGGAUGUAAACUACUGUCAGGGGUUAGAAAGUCCGGUUCGCCGGAUUGAUCGGCCCCAGAGGAAGUCACGGCUAACUUCGUGCCAGCAGCCGAGGUAAUACGAAGGUGGCUAGCGUUGUUCGGUGUCACUGGGCUUAAAGCGUGUGUAGGCGGAAAAGGAAGCGUUUUGUGAAAGGCCCCCGGCUUAACCGGGGAACUGCAAGACGAACUGCUUUUCUUGAGGCAAGCAGGGGUGCGUGGAACUCUUGGUGGAGCGGUGGAAUGCGUAGAUAUCAAGAGGAACGCCGGUGGUGAAGACGACGCACUGGGCUUGUCCAGACGCUGAGACACGAAAGCGUGGGGAGCGAACGGGAUUAGAUACCCCGGUAGUCCACGCCGUAAACGAUGUCUACUAGGUUGUGGGAGUUCUGACACUUUCACGGCCGAAGCAAAAGUGCUAAGUAGACCGCCUGGGGAGUACGGUCGCAAGGCUAAAACUCAAAGGAAUUGACGGGGGCUCACACAAGCGGUGGAGCAUGUGGAUUAAUUCGAAGCAACGCGCAGAACCUUACCUGGGUUUGACAUGCUUGGAUGACUGCCUGGAAACAGGUUAGUCUGCCCUUCGGGGUGAAACUUGCACAGGUGCUGCAUGGCUGUCGUCAGCUCGUGUCGUGAGAUGUCGGGUUAAGUCCUUUAACGAGCGAAACCCUUACCGUUUGUUGCCAGCGGGUAAUGCCGGGUACUCUAACGGGACUGCCGGUGUCAAACCGGAGGAAGGUGGGGACGACGUCAAGUCAUCAUGGCCUUCAUGCCCAGGGCCUCACACGUGCUACAAUGGCGGCGACAAAGCGACGCGAGACCGCGAGGUGGAGCAAAUCGCAAAAACGUCGCCUCAGUUCGGAUUGCAGGCUGGCAAUUCGCCUGCAUGAAGUUGGAAUCGCUAGUAAUCGCGUAUCAGCUAUGACGCGGUGAAUGUGUUCCUGAGCCUUGUACGCACCGCCCGUCAAGUGAUGGGAGUUGGGAGUACCCGAAGUCGGUUUGCCAACCCGUAAGGGAGGC
rnacentral:rRNA from 1 species